AUUGAACGCUGGCGGCAUGCCUUACACAUGCAAGUCGAACGGCAGCACGGGUGCUUGCACCUGGUGGCGAGUGGCGAACGGGUGAGUAAUACAUCGGAACAUGUCCUGUAGGGGGGGAUAGCCCGGCGAAAGCCGGAUUAAUACCGCAUACGAUCUACGGAUGAAAGCGGGGGACCUUCGGGCCUCGCGCUAUAGGGUUGGCCGAUGGCUGAUUAGCUAGCUGGUGGGGUAAAGGCCUACCAAGGCGACGAUCAGUAGCUGGUCUGAGAGGACGACCAGCCACACUGGGACUGGAACACGGCCCAGACUCCUACGGGAGGAAGCAGUGGGGAAUUUUGGACAAUGGGCGAAAGCCUGAUCCAGCAAUGCCGCGUGUGUGAAGAAGGCCUUCGGGUUGUAAAGCCCUUUUGUCCGGAAAGAAAUCCUUGGCCCUAAUACGGUGGGGGGAUGACGGUACCGGAAGAAUAAGCACCGGCUAACUACGUG
rnacentral:rRNA from 1 species